GGCUCGAUCCCAGGAUCCUGGGAACAUGACCUGAGCCAAAGGCGGACGCUUAACGACUGAGCCACCCAGGCGCCCCAAGGUUGAGGGUAUACAAGUAGCUAUGUCCCCUGCUAGACCCUCCAAACAAGCUCUCGAGGUCCCUUUGGAGGAGAACCUAGGGGAGUCAAGUUUCCGAGACUCCAGACACAUCCAAAUGAGGCACUGUGUGUAGCCGUCUGCCUUCC
ensembl:misc_RNA 7SK 7SK RNA